GGACCUGAAGUGUAAGACCAUGUUCAUCUCAGACAAACAGCUGGAGAACAUUCUUUCCAAUCAUUACUGCUACUUCUUUCCUGCUGUGGCAUCCCAUAAUAGCCUUUGGAGAAGACAGACAUUAGGAACAAUGUAUUCAAAGGAACUAUAAAGCCACUGUAUUUAGGACUGCUUACCUCCCAGGCUGAUGACAGAAUACCACAUUAAAGCAAAGUCGUUGUUACCUCUAUGAAGCAGGUUACCAUCUUUAAGUCUCAGAUGGAAAGCCCAACACAUAAAAAGGAAAAUGAUUCCAUCAUUUCUAAAAGCAAUCAUUUCUGAAGGCAGAAUUAGAACAGAUCUGAUGUCUGGCCAGUGCUCUCUCCUCCAAACUGGAAAUUAUGAAGAAAUCCAGGCUACAAUCCAGUUAAAGGGAUAGUCAUAGAGGCACAGAUGAUUAAAGCUGGAAGAACUUCAGCGCCCAUCUUAUUCAGGCACCUUGUUUUAAGAGGAAGAUCCUGAGACCCAAUGGGUUUAAAAGAGUAUCUUGGCUAACAUCACACACCACCUAGUUAGAGAUUGGGGGGUGCAAAAACUCAGAUCCAUUUGCAAGUAUUUCUCUUUGAUAAUAUAAGUGCCCUGAAUUGAAAGGAAACUUCUUGAGUAUUCCAAGAACACAUUUGCAUAGUCUCAGUUAUUGGAUUAAGAAAUUUAAUCCAUAAUCUUUGACUGUAUCUUUUAGAUAUGCAUUAUGGUUACAAAAAAAGUUUUGCCUGGGAAACUGGAUAACCAUGUGCAGGAAAACAAAAUUGGACCCCUAUUUUACACCACUACAAAAAUUAACUUGAAAUGGAUUAAAGAUUUAAGUAUAAGACCUGAAA